rnacentral:rRNA from 1 species
UACGUAGGGUGCGAGCGUUGUCCGGAAUUAUUGGGCGUAAAGAGCUCGUAGGCGGUCUGUUACGUCCGCUGUGAAAACCCAGGGCUUAACCCUGGGCUUGCAGUGGAUACGGGCAGACUAGAGGCAGGUAGGGGAGAAUGGAAUUCCCGGUGUAGCGGUGAAAUGCGCAGAUAUCGGGAGGAACACCGGUGGCGAAGGCGGUUCUCUGGGCCUGACCUGACGCUGAGGAGCGAAAGCGUGGGGAGCGAACAGG